GGGCCCGCACAAGCGGUGGAGCAUGCGGUUUAAUUCGAUGCAACGCGAAGAACCUUACCUACUCUUGAAUCCACGGGAUCUGUCAGAGAUGACGGAGUGCCUUCGGGAACCGUGAGACAGGUGCUGCAUGGCUGUCGUCAGCUCGUGUCGUGAGAUGUUGGUUAAGUCCCGUAACGAGCGCAACCCUUGUCCUUAGUUACCAUCAUUAAGUUGGGGACUCUAGGGAGACUGCCGGUGAUAAACCGGAGGAAGGCGGGGACGACGUCAAGUCAUCAUGGCCCUUACGAGUAGGGCUACACGCGUGCUACAAUGGCCGGUACAGAAGGCAGCCAACCCGCGAGGGGAG
rnacentral:rRNA from 1 species